rnacentral:rRNA from 1 species
AUUGAACGCUGGCGGCAGGCCUAACACAUGCAAGUCGAGCGGAUGAAGGGAGCUUGCUCCUGGAUUCAGCGGCGGACGGGUGAGUAAUGCCUAGGAAUCUGCCUGGUAGUGGGGGAUAACGUCCGGAAACGGGCGCUAAUACCGCAUACGUCCUGAGGGAGAAAGUGGGGGAUCUUCGGACCUCACGCUAUCAGAUGAGCCUAGGUCGGAUUAGCUAGUUGGUGGGGUAAAGGCCUACCAAGGCGACGAUCCGUAACUGGUCUGAGAGGAUGAUCAGUCACACUGGAACUGAGAAACGGUCCAGACUCCUACGGGGGGCAGCAGGGGGGAAUAUUGGACAAUGGGCGAAAGCCUGAUCCAGCCAUGCCGCGUGGGGGAAGAAAGUCUUCGGAUUGUAAAGCACUUUAAGUUGGGAGGAAGGGCAGUAAGUUAAUACCUUGCUGUUUUGACGUUACCAACAGAAUAAGCACCGGCUAACUUCGUG